CAUUACCUUUGGCAUUUUGUAAUCAGUGGACGAGUACAUUUCUUUGUUGUUGUGCAAACUCUAAAUUGUGGGUAUCUCAAAUUGAACAUCAGUCAAGUGUUCCAGCUAAAUCCCAAGAUGAUGACACACUCAAUCCUGCACCCCUUCACAGAGCUGCCUGAUUUUUGACUUUUAUGGAUCAGUCAAUCAGAUUCCAAAACGUUAGCAUGGAUACUCAGUUGACCAGAGUGCACACUUCGCGUGUUAUUGAUGGAAAUGUGUGUCAGUGUCACCCUCGCACAGAAAAACAGAUCCACUUCCUUCCACCAUCACGUGUCACAUUUGAGGAAAACUGAGACUGAGUGAACUUCAUCUUGGGAUGCCAUUUUUCUACGAACAUUCUCUAGUUGUGUGCCUUUGGCAUGUUAUUCUUACUUGAAGGAUAAUAGUGAUUUUUCUUUUCUAGAAUAUGUUGAAAUAAAUACCCUCUCCCAUAAACACAAUCUGCACCAACAGACUUUACUUGAAAUUGUGACACUUCAACGAAAUAAAAGCACAUUUUUGGCUUUGGU